CAAGGAGAGGCAAGUUACCAAAAUGAUUUACUAAAAAAGAGAAACUUUCAGGACUUUCAUUUUAAAAUGUAGCCCAAAACAGCAACAUGAAGAGCUCCUUUAAAUUUCAGACGGGGUUGGGACGCCAGUUGGUAGGCUAGCCGUUCAUGAAACCAGCAGCUAUCUGCUGAAAGAGCCAAGUAUGCAGCAGGAAAUCACUCAGUUAGCUAAACAACGUCGCCAUUUUUUUCUGACUUUACAGCGCAGUGCUGUGGAGGAAGGUCUGGCAAAGCAACACUAUUAAGAUUAGUAUCCGCAUUAGCAUUGCUGGCAGAGUUGGACCUGUAUGAUGCUGACCUGAAGCAAGGCUGGAUUACGAACCCGACAAAGAGACCCCUAAAACACCAGCUCUACCCAAAAGAGAAACGGAUUAACUGGCCGAUCAACACUGCUAUCAAAGAACCACAUGCACUUGAACCACAGGAAACCUCAGAAACAACGUUCAGAGGCACCAGACCUUCUCAGUCCAUAUACAGAGGCAACAAACUUUACCUAACACCAGUCAACAGACGUCAGCUGCGGGCAGAAAGUGUUUACUUUCCACUCUCAGUCACCUCACACAGCUGACUGAUAAAAAAAGAAAAGACAAAAAGUUGACCAGUUUGUCUGAGCCCAGGUCACGACUGGAAUGUUGAUAAGAAAAGAUGGUUACAGCGAGCAGCAUAUCUGCAUGUUGACAGAGUGUAACACCAGUGGGAACACGGUGGUUGUGUCCUGUAUCAAGUCAGAUUGUGUUUGGCUGAUACAUCUUGUUUGUUCUGUGCUCCGAGUGCUUGAUUCUGGGGCUUUAACCCACACAUACUGUAUCUCUGUCCCUCUCUUUCUCCUCUUGUCUCCUUGCUUACUGCUUCUGCUGAUCUGACGUUUUACAUGUUUGCGCAAUAAUGUGUGCGUGUUUACAUUCCAUCACUCUCAGUCAUACUAGUGGGAAUAUGACUGAGCGGAAAACUGUUGAUAUUCGUGGUUUUGAGUGUUUAGCCGCUCCCUGUUGGUACACAGUAGCAGUAUUUGUAUCACUCGGGUCAGGUUGGUUCUGUAUAACAUUGCUGAUUCUCAUAGCCAGAGCCAGGCUAAAAAUGAACACACCAAUGGCAUUAUACAGUGCUUAGAGCAAAAAAACAAGACCAUCAACCAAUAUGCUAUUAUUAUUUUCUUCAAGCCAACACAGUGUUUUCAAACUAACAAAAUUACCUGUCAAUUAAAGGAUAAGGCUGGCUGGAUGUUUUUUGUAUCUGUCCCUAUUUAAAUAAACUACAAAUAAAUAAAUUCUAUAUUUUUCUUAUUGUCAACAAAUUCCAUUAAAAAAGACCAUAACCAA